ACGACGCUGGCGGCGUGCCUAAUACAUGCAAGUCGAACGGUCUUUUCUAUGGAAGCUUGCUUCCGCUGAGAAGAUAGUGGCGAACGGGUGAGUAACACGUGGGUAACCUGCCCAUAAGAGGGGGAUAACAUCCGGAAACGGGUGCUAAUACCGCAUAGUUUUCUUGAUCGCAUGAUUGAGAAAGGAAAGACGGCCUUUGUGCUGUCGCUUAUGGAUGGACCCGCGGCGUAUUAGUUAGUUGGUGAGGUAACGGCUCACCAAGACGAUGAUACGUAGCCGACCUGAGAGGGUGAUCGGCCACAUUGGGACUGAGACACGGCCCAAACUCCUACGGGAGGCAGCAGUAGGGAAUCUUCCGCAAUGGACGAAAGUCUGACGGAGCAACGCCGCGUGAGUGAAGAAGGUUUUCGGAUCGUAAAACUCUGUUGUCAGAGAAGAACAAGUUGGAGAGUAACUGCUCCAGCCUUGACGGUAUCUGACCAGAAAGCCACGGCUAACUACGUG
rnacentral:rRNA from 1 species